GACCGCUCCGGAGGCCUAGUGGUAGAGCAUCCGCCUCGGAAGCGGACGGCUGCGGGUUCCUACCCCGGCCGAGUCA